GAUAAGGUUAAGUGAAUAAGGGCGCACGGUGGAUGCCUUGGCACUAGGAGCCGAUGAAGGACGGGACUAACACCGAUAUGCUUUGGGGAGCUGUACGUAAGCUAUGAUCCAGAGAUUUCCGAAUGGGGGAACCCAACAUCUUUAAUAGGAUGUUACGAUUGUGUGAAUACAUAGCACAUUCGAGGUAGACGCAGAGAACUGAAACAUCUAAGUACCUGCAGGAAGAGAAAGAAAAUUCGAUUCCCUGAGUAGCGGCGAGCGAAACGGGAAAAGCCCAAACCAGCAAGCUUGCUUGUUGGGGUUGUAGGACUCCAAUAUGGUAGUUCUUUCAGAUAGUCGAAUGACUUGGAAAAGUCAGUCAAAGAGGGUAAAAACCCCGUAGACGAAAUGUGGAAGACACCUAGGAGGAUCCUGAGUACGGCGGAACACGAGAAAUUACGUCGGAAUCCGGGAGGACCAUCUCCCAAGGCUAAAUACACCCUAGUGAC
rnacentral:rRNA from 1 species